CCCUUAGGAGGUGUUUUUUUUUUUUAAGUAUUUUAUUAUAUGCAGUGUCAAAACAAAUCAAACAAAAUAGUAAAUAAACGAAAUGAAAUAAUUUAAUUCAGAUGCAGACUCAGCAAACAGAAAGGGUCUUCAAAACCCGGCCUGCCAUCAUUCCUGUGACAUUUUGUUCCAGUCGGUAACAAACUCUUGCACAGAGCUGGCUCAGUUAUUAAGUUGUCAGUACCAGAUUAGUAUCAAGCGAUACUUAUUAGUACUGAGAUUUGUUAUGAAAAAAAAAAUGGGAACAAUGCCUCACUAAUUAGUAGCACUAAUCAGCUGCCCGGGCACCUGAGACACGCUGAUUACAUGUCAGAGCUUACUUAUCCAGUUACUUACUUUAGUUGCAUGGAUGACGAGUAGGUUCAGUAGGCUGCUGAUGUACUGUAGCAGCUAGCAGCAUGUUUCUCCCUUCCAGCAACUAGUAAAAAGGAAAGCCCCCCCCCCCCCUUUACCUUUACUUGUUUGCAUGUAACAUGCUGUAGUUGUAGUAACUUUCUAACCUUUUAAACUACAAAAAUGCAUUCUGUCCGUCAGUAGGUAAUAUUUUACUAGGUGAAUAAAAAUGUAAAAAAAUAAAUAAAUAAACAUAAAGACUUACAUAUCUUUUAUGUGAGAGGUAAUAAGAUGACACCGAUGACUUGCUGCCAUUUUGUACAAUAUGCUACAUCAUAUACAUCAGGUUAGAAUAAGGAGUGUCUAGGCAGAGACUAAUGAAAAUGAGUGAGUACUCAAAUCUCAGGGCUGGGGAAUUUUCAUUUGUUCAUUAUACUUUAGUGUUAAAUUACAUUAGCUGCCACUUAUUAUCCUACUUAAUUAGGCUUCUGGGCAAAAAACAACAACAUGGGAUGUACAAGUAGACUGGAGCGUCCCACUGGGCUGUCUAACAAAUGUAUUAUUUCUCCAUCCCUAGACCACAAUUACUGCAUUGUAUUUUGUAGGAGAUUUUAGGUGAUUUCCCCUAAAAUGAGGUGCUUUGUGAAUAAAAUGCACUAAACACUGUCAUUUCAUCAUUACAGAUCUUCCACAUUCUACUACCUGCUAGCUUUAUUAUCUGUCCGGUUAUAACUUAUACAUUCACAGCCAUAUUUAAGUGUAACUGUAUAGUUAUACACUACAUGGCCAAAAGUUGUUUGUAUCUUUCUCAUUUGUAAGUCGCUUUGGAUAAAAGCGUCUGCUAAGUGAAUAAAUGUAAAUGUAAUGUAAAAGUAUGUGUACACCCCUCCUAAUGACUGAGCUCAGCUACGCAGCUUCGGUCAACACUAAGUGCUAUUAUUGUGAAAUGGAAGCGUCUACGAGCAACAACUGCUCCGCUACAAGUUUGUAGACCAUGGAAACUCACAACGCUACCCACUGGAAUACAUACUGCCUACAGUAAGGUUUGGCAUAGGUGGGAUAAUAGUCUGGGGCUGUUUUUCAGGGUUUGGGCACCACAGUUCCAGUGAAGGUUAAUGUUAAUACUACAACAUGCAAAGACAUUUCAGACUUUUGUUUUAGAAGUGUACGCUUCCAACUUUGUGGCAACAGUUCGGGGAAGGCCAUUCAUUUUCCCAGCAUUUGUCCCAGUGCACAAAUCAAGGUACAUAAAGACAGGUUUGACAAGUUUGUUGUGGAGGAACUGAAAUGGCCUGCCCAGAAUCCUGACCUCAAACCAAAUGAACACCUUUGGGAUGAAUUGUUGGCCAGAGCUUCUCUAGAUAACAUCAGUCCUGGAUCUUACAAAUGUUCCUUUGACACAGUGGGCACAAAUUGCCCCAGUCAUGCUCCAAAAUCCUGUAGAAAGCCUUCCCAGGAGAGUGGAAGCUGUUAUAACCACAAAGGGUGGGGUGGGGAGUGGGGACUCCAUAUUAAUGCCAAUAGUUUUGGAAUGGGAUAUCCAACAAGCUCAUAUAAGGUGCGAUGGUCAGAUGUCUACAUACUUUCAGCAAAGUAUGAUUAUGAUGUGUUAUGUAUCAGACCAAUUAAAGUAGGGUCAUUCUGGAGAAGUUCUCUGCAACUGAAAGAGGCUAAAUGGAUAUAUUUUGUCUGACUCUGACAGUUCUGUAACAUGCUCAGGCAUUCUUUAAUGGGUAAAUAUUAAAUUAGGUCUGGGGAAAAUGCUGCUUAUAUGCCACAGACAGCUAAUCCUGCAUAAUUUGCAUAAAUUUGUUUUGAAUUUGGAGGAAUAGACAGUGAAAUAACCUAUCUCUCUCUCUCUCUCUCUCUCUCAUUCUCUCUCUCAGUCUCCUAUGCACAUCCACAAACACUUACCAUAACUGCAAAUAAGGUUUUAUUAAGGAAACAGGGCUGAGAGUGGUUCAAACUUGACCUCGACAUUAAAGACACGACGUACAAGCAGAAUGCAACAAAAGUGCUCUUAUUUAUCAGGGAAUAAUUUAGUUCAACCUCAUCUUUCCCUCUAUCUGCCCUUCAUUUAUAUGUGCAUUUCAAAGAAGCCAAAACGAUUCCCUUUGGGCAUGUUUAUCCGACAAGUGAAUGGGAUUAUCAUAUUAUCAAAAGCUCUCAACCAUGCAUAGCUUCCACACCAUAAAUACACAUUGUACAUAAGCUUAGUGGCUCAAAAGCAUGAAAGCCUUGCUUCUAGGAAAAUGAUAAACACGUGAGUUUUCAUCUAAUGCAUCUGGCAACAGCAGAGCAUUUCACCCGAACGCAAGCUGUGUCAGAGGUGUUGGGGAUCAAAUCAGUGGAACAAAUCAGAGCAAUGCGAAGAUGGGUUAUUUUCUCUUAGCAACCAUUUUUAUUGAGUUGGUUUCAGGCAAUGUCCUGUGCAACGACAUGGAAACACUGAAGGGAAAAAGAAGUGGAAUGCAGUGAAAAGUCGAGAUACAGAUAAGACAGAGAAGCGAGAGGAAAGAAAGAGCAUUUUAAUCUCAAGUGGAAGAUCAGUCACUGCUACAGUCAAGCUUGAGGAGGAAAGGAGGGAGACGAAGAAACAGACAAAAAAUGAAAGAAACGUGACAUAACGCUGUGAAAGAGAGUGUGUGUGAGAGAGAGAGAUGAAUGGGCAGAUAGAGAAGGUCAUGGCUGUCCUCGAUGUGACUGCUCGAAUUCUUGCUGCCAUCUCUGUGGCCUCCCCUAUGUGCCAAGAUUUAACCCAUUACACUGAUAAAUCAUUACAGUGUUAGAGCACCGAUCCCACACAUCACACCAUCACUACCGUUUUAUACAAACUCGAUACACAUGACAGCUUCAGAGACAAAGCAAGAGAUUUCAGAUCGCACACUGCACCACCAUCACUGCCACCUGUACAUAAAUUUCAUGUCACAUGACAGCAGGGUAUAAAUCAGUCCCUCCGGGAUUUUGCGAUGGCAGAAAUUAAUUCAAAAUCAAGGAAACGCUGCAAUAUUCUAAUUCUAAUUUUCCGCAGAUUUGGGCCAAGACGUGCCAUGUGACCUUAUCACAACACGCAUUCAGCCAAAGCCCUCUUCAGUUCAUGUGCGUCGAACAUGAGUACAGCCACAGUUUCAUUUAUCAACAAACAUCACUGCGAAAGACAAUUUCGUGUGAUUGCAAUUUCGCCAAUUCAAGUGGUUUUCUGCAAAAAAGCACAAAAAACUCUGCAAGUUGCAACACAAAUUCUGAAAAAUCCACAGCAAAAUCAUACAAUAAAUGAGUGCUACCAUGAGCAAAAUGAGUGUCUUGUAUGUCGCAUGAUCACUGUGCUAGUUAUGUUGGUAGUAGCAUCUCCCAAAACGCUGUACUAUGUAAUAUGUAAUAUGAAAAGUUCUUGAAAAGAUUUACUCGACAUUAUGCAAACAGAAAAAAAAAAAAAAAAAAAAAAACAUUGUUAAGAGCUUGAUAAAUGUUGAUAAAAAUUAAUUAUGGAUUACGCUUUAGCCCCUUUUUUUCUCAAAGGGUCUACAACGGCAGACAAUCAUGUCCGGUGCCCACGUGAACAAGAAGAAACAGGUCUCCAGUGAGCACAGACGCACUGGACCUUAAGGUGUGGAAAAAAAGUCGUCUGGUUAGACGAAAUCUAGAUCCGAAUUUGGCACAAACAACAUGGAGCCGUUUGGUUUGAUAUGAACUUUACAGGCUGGUGCCCCUGAUACUAUCUGAAGAAAUCUCGUCAUCAUUACUGGCCAAGUUUAUUUACUUAUUUGUUUCUACGGUAAUGAUGAUGCACUACAUCGCCCAUAUUGCCCCUGCAUUUAGUAGAUGCAGUGAGGAACUUUAAGAAAAUACUCCUGCGUGAAGCUCCAUGCUGGUUGAGAAGAUGCCAAGAGCGUGCAAAGUUUUGUAACACGAAUACUGUUAAUUUAAAACACAAAACAGAUUGGAUUUGUUUAACACUCUUCUUUGUCUCUACAUUAUUCAAUAUUUGUUAUUUCAUAGUGUUUAAUGUCUUUACAGACAAAAGUAUUGCAUUAUUAAAACAAAGGUUUUUCUGGUUUGAGUGAUAAAUGACAAAUGAAGGAAAAUAGGGGAUAAAUGAUAGCUAAGGCUUGUAUUUUUACUAGGGCAUGUGCCAGGGUUCAGUAAUCAGUGCUGGGUUUCUUACCGCUCCAGAGAGCAUGCAGUCUGCAAAGUGCACUUGGAUUCAAUUACAGCCUCUCAGCAAAGCUAGAGCAGAGAUAGAGAACUUAUUCAGACUGAACCUGAUGUUAAGACUGCCACCUUAAAUUAGAGGUCCAAACCAGCUGAAAAACCACAACAUAUACUUAUUAAUUUAUGUGGACAGCUAACCAUAUCAACAGAUUUGCCCCUUACAAUAUCACAGAUAAUCAAAAGCGACUGAAGUAACUAAUCCUCUCAUACUGAAGUCUUAUGAAUUACGUCCUGGGCUUUUCAUAUUCUUACGGAAUGAGAGCUGCAGCUCUCGUGUCAUUCAUCUUUUUUAUUGCUUUUAUUGCUCCUGCACUGUCCUGCACACUCAAUCAAGCAGCUUGAGGAUGAGACGGAAAGGGCUGUUCAGAACAAGUGUAAUGCGCUAUGAAAUUUACAAAACUGUACAGAAUUCCUGCUCAACCCGUCCGGCGUUUUGUAGAAUUUACAGCCAUGUGAAAAAAGCAAGCACAUAGAUUGGAGAACCUUAGAAACCUACAAACACAUGCUGAAAUUUCCAUUGCUUCAGCUACAGUUUUAUGAAAUUAUUGGAAAAUACGUCAAAUCCAUACAAUGCAAAUAUUAAAAAAAAAAUUUUUUUUAAAUGACAUGCAGAUGCAGAUGCAGACAGCUUUCUAAGACAUUUUAAUCAGUCCAAACAGGAUUUCGCUUUUAAAAAAUGCUUGAUUUUGUUGCUGCUUUGUUCAAAAUUUGCGAUGCAACCCGGUGAUUUUUUAAAAAUUUUUUUGCUUUUUUGCAGAAAACGAUUGAACAGAACUGCACAAACGAUUGAAAAGAACUGCACAAACGAUUGAAAAGAACUGCACAAACGAUUGAAAAGAACUGCACAAACGAUUGAACGAACUGCACAAAAUUGUUCUGCGUGGUCUUUCACUGUGAGGUUUCUGUACGCAUGUUCGAUGCAUGUAAAUCGAAGGGGGCUUUGGGGAAUGCGCGUUGUGAUGACGUCACAUGACGUAUCUUGGCCCAAAUCUGCAGCCAUUUUGAAAAAUUGCAAGCUCCUGCAAAUAUUGCCGCGUUUCCUUGAUCUUAUGUUCAUUUCUGUGUUCGCAAAAAUCGCUAAAUCUUGAAAGGGACAGUUAAAUGAUCUCAUUCCAACAACUGCUGCAGUUUGAGAAUAAAAUAAUUCUAAGCUUUAACAAAAAAGGAAAGCCAUAUUAAAAAAAAAAAAAAAAAGAUCUGUAGAAAGGUCGAAUAGGUGAUUUUAAUGCACACAUCGGGCCUCGUUUAUCAAACUUUUACUAAAGUUGUGUGUAAAUGUUUUUCAUAAGCGACACCGAACUAAAAAUUCCUGCCAGAUUUACAAACGUUUCAGUCACUUUCGGAUUAUUUAAUUUGUAUUCACGUGCAUAUGUUGAUAAAUGCCAAUCACGCUUAAAGUGCAAAGCGUGUGCACACCACAGCUGAUGUGCAUUUAGUCACACCCACAAAACUCCAUAUACGGUAAAGCUCAUAAUAAGAUGAAAGCGCAGUAUCGGGACAAAAUGGUGAGGAAAAUGGUUUCUCCGAUGCAGAAGCGGAAAUUAUUUCAUGCUGCUAAAAUAUUUAGCAGCAUGACAGCAACUUCAAAGGCCAGAAACUGGAGACAAAUUACAGUAAAAGGGCAAUUAGGUAUCAAUUAAGAGCGCUGAAAGAAUGACAUAAAAAUGCAGAAUAGGAAAGUUUCUUUGCAGAUGUUUCAUGAAUACGAGAUUUCUUGUGUAAACAUUACUAUUUAAAUAUUUAAAUAGUAAAUAUCUGUACUAUUUACAGAUAUUUACAAAUGUAUUCGUGCAUAUCUAGCUUGCUGCAUAUCUAGCUUGCUAACUCUACACUCUAAUCUUCAAGAAAACAGGCAACCUACAUCUACGUCAAUAUGAAAUAAAUGCAUGCAGACAUCCAGUUCUGCCUCUUUUAUAUCAAUAUUUUCAAUAAAUCAAUAUAUGUUUGAAUAAAUAGAGAUAUAUGCUAUUCAGAUGUUUAUACCCGCUAAAACAUUUCUCCUCUACUCUGAAGGGCUUGGCUUUGAAUCCCUGAUGGUAAUUGCAACACAACAUCUAUACGAUACUUAUAUGAGGCAAAGAGCAAGCUUUCCCUUUAAAAUGACCCUUCUGGUCUAUUAAAUCUUCCACUGGAGUGUUACGCCUUAGGGAUUUGGCAAUGCUAUUUUUGUUGUGGCUUUUUUUAGUUUCUUAGCUUGUUUUUAUUCUCUUAAAGUUCGACUGAUUCAAAAAGAUUGUGCAUCUUAGAUGCCGAUUUUUUUUUUUAAAAUAAUAAUAAAUAAAUUAUUCAGCUGUGAGACAGAAUGCUAAUGGUUUUACUUCUACCAUUUAUAAAAUAUUGAUUAUUUAUUUAUUUAUUUAUUCAGAGCUUCCUUUUGGCUAACAGGGCUUUUUUCCAGCAUGGGUCCAGACCCUCAUCAAUGUGGUAAGGUUUGUUGGGGAUGAUAUGCUCUCUGAUAGCCUUGAAAUAAUAAAAGAAAGAGAAAUAAAAUCAAUUAUUUAAAAACAAAAAAGAUUAAAGAAGAAAAAUAAGACAGCAGAAAAUCAAUUCCAAAGCAAUCCAUUUCCUCUCCGUUUCAAAAGCGUGAUGAGUCUGUCAGUCAGAGAGAAUGUGGUGAUUGUGUUUAACAUCAUAUCUGCAGAGGACAGAGGACCUCUAAAUUGGCCUGUUUUAAUUCUAUUGCACUAAUGCAAAAACAGGCAAUGGCACUAUAAAAGCUCAAGGGGAGAUUCAUUUUCGCUCGAAUGCCCCGGGGUUUAUUAAAGCUCAUGCAGGGGUGAUAUCAGGUUGACACAAAGAUGUUUUCUUUUUGAUGUGUUGCUUGAAGAGCAGAUUUUUGUGCACUGAAGCUGGAGUCGAUCCUUUUGUUCUCUCCCCCUCCCCCUACAGACAGUGUAAAGUCUGCCAUUUUUUUCUUGGCCUUGAUUGCCUUUGCUAGAAAAAAAAAAAAAAAACAUUGUCUAAAUCGAUCAAAGACCCUGAAGUGUGCCCUUGUCUCCAAAUACUACGACUUCCUUUUGCUCUCAAAUAUAACACCUCAUAUGUAAAAGCACAAAGGAGAGAACUGGCCAAACAGAAUAGCUAGAUGUAUUUGUGAACAUAUGCACAAGCACGUGUAAGAAAAUGUGCUCAUCUGUAUGCGUCUGCAGGUAGACGACAGCGACACUUUCAAGAGAGUCGAUAUACCUCGUCUCACACAAUAAAUAAAUACACCCAAAAGUGAAAUUUGAAGUCCAGAAUCAUGCUAGAGCGGAAGAUCCUGCACAGCAGGGGUGUAAAUCGCAAGUUUCAGUAUUCUUUUAGCCGGCGAUUCAAUAUUUGCCGAUACCUCUAUGACAGUGGUGUUUAAUAGGCGAAAAAAUGUCAACAACCUCAGACAUAAUACAACUUUUUAAAUCUCAGAAUCACUGGCCAUUUCACACGACACAGCUUGAAAUGUUUGCAUUUAGUUGUUCAGUGUUGUAAGAGUGAGGACAUCACUUGCAUACAAGGCGCACACAAUGUAUAAAGGCAAUUUUUCACGCUAUGGGCCGAUAGUUUAAAAACACACAGCGGAAACACAUCGAUUCGUGCUGUGUGGAAUGAUGACAAAACUGCAGUCUGUAAGCUCUGUAAUCUCUGCUCUGCUAAAAUUUUACAACGGAAGUGAGCAGGAGUGAAGCGGGAGUUUCAGCAUCGUCUUAAUUUUUUAAAAAAUUUGCCAUGCUGCUUGCGCCGUAUUAAAACGCCAGUACACGAUUGAACGAUUUAAAUGAAGAUGACAAAAAAGUAUAUAUUGCAAAGAAAAAUACACAAAAAUGUACCGCCGUGUGUGAUCGUGUCCUGUCACAAAAUGCGGUGAAAACUCUCACACGUUGUUAAUAAUGUGAUUAAGGGGUUUACAUGUCUGUAAUACUCGUCCAUAAUGCGACUAAAACAGGAGUACUCCACCUGUCUUAAUCCGAUUAGUGUUUACUUCGAGUAUGACCUUAAUCAGAUUAAGGUCAUUAACAAUUGCUGUUUACAUGCUAGUUUCUUAAUCACAGUAUGGUCUUAAUCAAUAAUCCACUCUUAACCCGAUUAAGACCAUACUGUGAUUAAGAAACUAGCAUG
ensembl:lncRNA